GAAAGAGUGAUUAGGCCAGGUGCAAAAAGGUAAUAUUUACACUUUUCGGAACAUCUCUUGACUUGCCUAUAGGAGCAUGGAUGUGUAUUGGCCAAAUUUGUAUGAUGUAAACAUGCAAUUUUUCUGAAAAUUGCAUAUAUUUUUGGACUUGUACUGUACAUUACACACACAAAAAAUUAGACAAAAAGAAUAGGCACAUUUUUUUUAAUGCGACAAAACGUUAUAAAGAAAUGAUAGAGGAAUUAAUUGUGGUUUCGGGCC
rnacentral:lncRNA from 1 species